AAGAAAAAGAGAGAACAGUAUGUCUUUUUUAUUACCAUUGAAAAAUUCUUCAUGUUGGCAUUCUGAAAGUGACCAUUAAUAGUACAUUUGUAGAACUAGAUACAGAGAAGGAACAUGUGCUAAAGACUUGAUUUCUAUAAAAAAUGAUGCAAUGAGUUUACUUUUUCCUUUUCUUUCCUUCAGUGAUUACCAGUUAAGAGAAUGAGAUUCCUACAUUUGGAACCAGUGGCGUCAACAUAUCAAAGAAGGAAGGGGAAAGAAGAAGAGGGAGAGAUACAGCGAAGAAGAAAAGUAGAGUUAAACAGAGUCCUUAACCACUUGGCCACGAAGGGUCUCGUCGCCACAUGUCAGACCUAAGCGGCAGCUCCUGCUCUGUUAUAUAACAUCUCUGAAGGAGUCGUAUGAAAACCACAUGCCACAGAGU
rnacentral:lncRNA from 1 species